rnacentral:rRNA from 1 species
CAGUCGCCACGGUAAUACGUAGGUGGCAAGCGUUGUCCGGAAUUAUUGGGCGUAAAGCGCGCGCAGGCGGAUAGGUCAGUCUGUCUUAAAAGUUCGGGGCUUAACCCCGUGAUGGGAUGGAAACUGCCAAUCUAGAGUAUCGGAGAGGAAAGUGGAAUUUCUAGUGUAGCGGUGAAAUGCGUAGAUAUUAGGAAGAACACCAGUGGCGAAGGCGACUUUCUGGACGAAAACUGACGCUGAGGCGCGAAAGCCAGGGGAGCGAACGGGAUUAGAUACCCCUGUAGUCCCUGUCUCUUAUACA